rnacentral:rRNA from 1 species
GGCGCACGGGUGCGUAACGCGUAUGCAACCUACCUUCUACCGGGGGAUAGCCUCCUGAAAGGGAGAUUAACACCGCAUAAGACAGCGAUUCGGCAUCGGAUAGCUGUUAAAACUCCGGUGGUAAAAGAUGGGCAUGCGUCUGAUUAGCUAGUUGGUGAGGUAAUGGCUCACCAAGGCGACGAUCAGUAGGGGACCUGAGAGGGUGAUCCCCCACACUGGCACUGAGAUACGGGCCAGACUCCUACGGGAGGCAGCAGUAGGGAAUAUUGGGCAAUGGUCGAGAGACUGACCCAGCCAUGCCGCGUGAAGGAAGAAGGCUUUCUGAGUUGUAAACCUUCUUUUAUCUGGGAAAAAACGAUCCCUGCGGGGGAGCAUUGAUGGUACCAGAUGAAUAGGCACCGGCUAACUCCGUGCCCAGCAGCCGCGG